rnacentral:rRNA from 1 species
AUGUCCCGCCCCCGCCUCCGCCACUGCUCCUGCUUCACCACGCCCAUGUCCCGCAUCCGCUUCCGCCGCCGCCUCUCCUCUUCCACCUCACGACCCACACCCUCCUGGUCUCCCCGCGCCGCCUUUGCGGCGGCCACGGAGCGCGUCCGCGACGGAACGCUCAGCCCGCAAGACGCACACCACCUGUUCGACGAAUUGUUUCAGCAGGCCACCCCGGUCCCCGACCGCCCCCUCAACGGAUUCCUUGCCGCCCUCACCCGUGCCACGCCCUCCGAGGCCUGCAGAGACGGCCCUGCUCUCGCCCUCUCCCUCUUCAACCGUGUCUACCGAGAAGAAGCCGGCAUGCGGGUGGCGCCGCCGACCAUCUUCACCUACGGCGUCCUCAUGAACUGCUGCUGCCGCAUGCGUCGUCCGGAACUUGGGCUCGCCUUCUUCGGCCGCCUCCUAAGGACGGGCCUGAAGGAAGACAAGAUCGUCGCCAACACUGUCCUCAAGUGCCUGUGCUGCGCUAAACGGGCAGACGACGCUGUGAAAGUGCUGCUUCAUACGAUGACCGAGCUGGGGUGUGUGCCUGAUGCCUUCUCAUACGCCAUUGUCCUGAAGAGCUUAUGUGAUGAUAACAGGAGCCAGCAGGCGCUCUACCUGCUCCGGAUGAUGGCGAAAGAAGAAGGUGUGUGCUCCCCUGACGUGGUCACAUAUAACACCGUCAUUCAUGGCUUCUUUAAGGAAGGAAAAAUAGGCAAGGCCUGCAAUCUAUUCCAUGAAAUGACGAAGCAAGGGUUUGUGCCUAAUGUGGUGACAUAUAACUCGGUUAUCAAUGCAUUGUGCAAGGCCCGAGCAAUGGACAAUGCAGAGUUGUUCCUUCGGCAGAUGGUUGAUAACGGCGUUCAACCGAAUAAAGUGACAUAUACUAGCAUGAUCCAUGGAUAUUCCACUUUGGGCCAGUGGAAAGAGGCGACUAAACUGUUCAGAGAAAUGACAAGCAGUGGUCUUAUACCAGAUAUUGUCACUUGGAACUCGUUCAUUGACUCCCUUUGCAAGCAUGGAAGGAGCAAAGAAGCUGCAGAAAUUUUUCAUUCCAUGUCUGCAAAGGGCCACAAGCCUGAUAUCAUCUCCUACACCACUCUUCUUCAUGGGUAUGCCAAUGAAGGAAGCUUUCCUGAUAUGAUGAGUCUCUUUAAGUCAAUGGAAGGCGACGGUACUGUAGCCAACUGCCAAUUUUUCAACAUAUUAAUUGAUGCAUAUGCUAAACGAGGAAUGAUGGACGAAGCUAUGCUCAUAUUUACUGAAAUGCCAGGACAAGGAGUCAAUCCAAAUGUAGUCACCUAUUCAACUGUGAUAGCUUCACUUUGCAGAAUGGGUAGGCUGGCUGAUGCAAUGAAUAAGUUCAGUGAGAUGAUUGGUACGGGAGUACAACCGAACACAGUUGUUUAUCACUCCCUAGUUCAGGGCUUAUGUACACAUGGUGAUUUGGUGAAAGCGAAGGAGUUGAUUUCUGAAAUGAUGAAUAAAGGUAUUCCUCGUCCAAACAUUGCAUUCUUCAGUUCAAUAGUACACAGUCUAUGCAAAGAAGGAAGGGUUAUGGAUGCACACCAUAUCUUUGACUUGGUUAAAGACAUAGGGGAGAGAUCUGACAUCAUUAUGUUUAAUACGCUGAUUGAUGGAUAUUGCCUAGUCGGUGAGAUGGGCAAAGCAGUCAGUGUACUAGAUGUCAUGAUAUCAGCCGGCAUUGAGCCUGAUAUCUUUACAUAUAAUACACUUGUCAAUGGUUAUUUUAAGAGUGGAAGGAUCGAUGAUGGGUUGAAUCUGUUCAGAGAAAUGUCACAUAAGAAAAUUAAACCUACAACUGUUACAUAUAACAUCAUACUGGAUGGAUUAUUUCGUGCUGGGAGAACCGUUGCUGCCAAGAAAAUGCUCCAUGAGUUGAUCGGAUGUGGAACAACAGUGAGCUUGUCCACAUACAACAUAAUUCUUAAAGGACUUUGUAGAAAUAAUUGCACCGACGAAGCAAUCGUCAUGUUCCAGAAAUUACACACAAUUAAUGUAAAGUUCAAUAUCACAACACUCAAUACCAUGAUUAAUUCAAUGUACACUGUUCAGAGAAGAGAAGAAGCUAAAGAUUUGUUUGCUGCAAUAUCAGACAGCGGGUUGGUGCCCAAUGCCUCUACAUACGGCAUAAUGAUACGAAAUCUUCUAAAAGAAGGAUCAGUGGAAGAAGCUGACAGUAUGUUCUUAUCAAUGGAGAGGAGUGGUUGUGCUCCUUGCUCUCGUCUUUUAAAUGAUACUAUUAGAACGUUAUUGGAGAAGGGGGAGAUAGUCAAGGCCGGAAAUUAUAUGUCUAAAGUUGAUGGCAAGAGCAUCUCACUUGAAGCUUCAACUUGUUCAUUGUUGUUGUCUCUGUUUUCUGGGAAAGGUAAAUAUCGUGAACAAAUACAAUUGCUCCCUGUAAAAUACCAAUUCUUCGGUGGAGUUAGUUGA